GACAUUCUCAGAGAGAUAGCUUCAGAGACAAAGAGAAAGCCAGAAGCACUGAGCCAUAUUCAGAUUCAGAAGGAGACAGAGAAGGUAGAGAGGGAGAGAGACCACAGAGAUUUGGAGUAACAGAGGCAGGGCAGACUGACACGAGAACAGAAUCAGGAGAGACCAAGACAACGAGAAGGAAACCAACGUGGACGCGGCCGGGAAGAACGCAGGCGACCCGGGCGAAGCCGGGAACUGAGCCCACCCGCGCGGUGAUCCAUUCCUAGUCUGGCUGGGGGACUGCGUAGAGAAGGAACCUGAGCCGUCGAGAUUUCACUCCUAAGCCUGGGCUUGGGGACAGGGGUUCGCCCUGGACACUGCGGGAGGGUGCGGGAUGGGGCUCCGUGGGGAUUUGCCUAGAGGCAGGGGAUGCCCCAAAUGACCCCUGUAGGGCCCGCCCCCAGGCAGCCACCUCGGCAGCACCCUCCUUUCCUAUGCGCCCUGGGGCCUCUUCAGCUCUAGAGACAGGAGGAUGACUCAACACAGGCCCGAAUUCCUGCCGGAUUCCGUAGGUUUCACUCAGGAAGGAGGCGCCCCCACCCCCACCCCCUCUCACGUCGGACUCGGCUGCAGGGGGAAUGGCAGGUUCUUCCCGGAGGCCAGCGGCGCGCAGCCCCACGGCCCGGGCAGGGCGAGCGGGUGCCCGGCGCGGCGGAGAGUCCCGGGCGCCCUUCCCGCGCGCGCCACCGCGCAGCCCCGCCGGAGGGCCGCGGGCAGCCUCGGCAGAGAAAAUUACAAGAAAAAAAAAAUCAAACCAGGAGCGCUUUAAAACACACAAAGAGUAGCCCUCCCUCCACCCAGCUUCAUUCCACACCCCAUCCACCUCUCACACUCCCCCACCCCUUUUUUAUUUUGGUCUCCAAACUUGAGCCUCAUUAAUUUCCAAAAAAAAUUUCCCCCAAUAAAAGGCAAACAUGGAAAGAAAAACAAACUAUUAGAAAAUAGAGGAGGGAGGAAAUGUUAUUUAAAAGGUUAGCAGACCGCAUCAUUUUCCAAUGAUAUUAUAUACUCCCAGCAGUAUCCAAAAUAUAUAUGGGCCCUGGGCCAAGAAUGU
rnacentral:lncRNA from 1 species